rnacentral:rRNA from 1 species
GAACAUGUUAGACGAAUCAUCUGGAAAGAUGAAUCAAAGAAGGUAAUAAUCCUGUAGUCGAAAACAUAUUCUCUCUUGAGUGGAUCCUGAGUACGACGGAGCACGUGAAAUUCCGUCGGAAUCUGGGAGGACCAUCUCCUAAGGCUAAAUACUCUCUAGUGACCGAUAGUGAACCAGUACCGUGAGGGAAAGGUGAAAAGUACCCCGGAAGGGGAGUGAAAGAGAACUUGAAACCGUGUGCUUACAAGUAGUCAGAGCCCGUUAAUGGGUGAUGGCGUGCCUUUUGUAGAAUGAACCGGCGAGUUACGAUCUGAUGCAAGGUUAAGCAGCAAAUGUGGAGCCGCAGCGAAAGCGAGUCUGAAUAGGGCGUUGAGUAUUUGGUCGUAGACCCGAAACCAGGUGAUCUACCCUUGGUCAGGUUGAAGUUCAGGUAACACUGAAUGGAGGACCGAACCGACUUACGUUGAAAAGUGAGCGGAUGAACUGAGGGUAGCGGAGAAAUUCCAAUCGAACUUGGAGAUAGCUGGUUCUCUCCGAAAUAGCUUUAGGGCUAGCCUCAAGUGAUGAUUAUUGGAGGUAGAGCACUGUUUGGACGAGGGGCCCCUCUCGGGUUACCGAAUUCAGACAAACUCCGAAUGCCAAUUAAUUUAACUUGGGAGUCAGAACAUGGGUGAUAAGGUCCGUGUUCGAAAGGGAAACAGCCCAGACCACCAGCUAAGGUCCCAAAAUAUAUGUUAAGUGGAAAAGGAUGUGGCGUUGCCCAGACAACUAGGAUGUUGGCUUAGAAGCAGCCAUCAUUUAAAGAGUGCGUAAUAGCUCACUAGUCGAGUGACACUGCGCCGAAAAUGUACCGGGGCUAAACAUAUUACCGAAGCUGUGGAUUGUCCUUUGGACAAUGGUAGGAGAGCGUUCUAAGGGCGUCGAAGCAUGAUCGCAAGGACAUGUGGAGCGCUUAGAAGUGAGAAUGCCGGUGUGAGUAGCGAAAGACGGGUGAGAAUCCCGUCCACCGAUUGACUAAGGUUUCCAGAGGAAGGCUCGUCCGCUCUGGGUUAGUCGGGUCCUAAGCUGAGGCCGACAGGCGUAGGCGAUGGAUAACAGGUUGAUAUUCCUGUACCACCUAGUAUCGUUUUAAUCGAUGGGGGGACGCAGUAGGAUAGGCGAAGCGUGCUGUUGGAGUGCACGUCCAAGCAGUAAGGCUGAGUGUUAGGCAAAUCCGGCACUCAUAAGGCUGAGCUGUGAUGGGGAGAGGAAAUUGUUUCCUCGAGUCGUUGAUUUCACACUGCCGAGAAAAGCCUCUAGAUAGAUAACAGGUGCCCGUACCGCAAACCGACACAGGUAGUCAAGAUGAGAAUUCUAAGGUGAGCGAGCGAACUCUCGUUAAGGAACUCGGCAAAAUGACCCCGUAACUUCGGGAGAAGGGGUGCUCUUUAGGGUUCACGCCCAGAAGAGCCGCAGUGAAUAGGCCCAAGCGACUGUUUAUCAAAAACACAGGUCUCUGCUAAACCGUAAGGUGAUGUAUAGGGGCUGACGCCUGCCCGGUGCUGGAAGGUUAAGAGGAGUGGUUAGCUUCUGCGAAGCUACGAAUCGAAGCCCCAGUAAACGGCGGCCGUAACUAUAACGGUCCUAAGGUAGCGAAAUUCCUUGUCGGGUAAGUUCCGACCCGCACGAAAGGCGUAACGAUUUGGGCACUGUCUCAACGAGAGACUCGGUGAAAUCAUAGUACCUGUGAAGAUGCAGGUUACCCGCGACAGGACGGAAAGACCCCGUGGAGCUUUACUGUAGCCUGAUAUUGAAAUUCGGCACAGCUUGUACAGGAUAGGUAGGAGCCUUUGAAACGUGAGCGCUAGCUUACGUGGAGGCGUUGGUGGGAUACUACCCUAGCUGUGUUGGCUUUCUAACCCGCACCACUUAUCGUGGUGGGAGACAGUGUCAGGCGGGCAGUUUGACUGGGGCGGUCGCCUCCUAAAAGGUAACGGAGGCGCUCAAAGGUUCCCUCAGAAUGGUUGGAAAUCAUUCAUAGAGUGUAAAGGCAUAAGGGAGCUUGACUGCGAGACCUACAAGUCGAGCAGGGUCGAAAGACGGACUUAGUGAUCCGGUGGUUCCGCAUGGAAGGGCCAUCGCUCAACGGAUAAAAGCUACCCCGGGGAUAACAGGCUUAUCUCCCCCAAGAGUUCACAUCGACGGGGAGGUUUGGCACCUCGAUGUCGGCUCAUCGCAUCCUGGGGCUGUAGUCGGUCCCAAGGGUUGGGCUGUUCGCCCAUUAAAGCGGUACGCGAGCUGGGUUCAGAACGUCGUGAGACAGUUCGGUCCCUAUCCGUCGUGGGCGUAGGAAAUUUGAGAGGAGCUGUCCUUAGUACGAGAGGACCGGGAUGGACAUACCUCUGGUGUACCAGUUGUCGUGCCAACGGCAUAGCUGGGUAGCUAUGUAUGGACGGGAUAAGUGCUGAAAGCAUCUAAGCAUGAAGCCCCCCUCAAGAUGAGAUUUCCCAACUUCGGUUAUAAGAUCCCUCGAAGAUGACGAGGUUAAUAGGUUCGAGGUGGAAGCGUGGUGACACGUGGAGCUGACGAAUACUAAUCGAUCGAAGACUUAAUCAA